GCAAAUUCAGUGCUUGUUUCCUCGUUCUUGCUAGUUCUUCGAUUGCUUGCAGGACGGGAGCCCUAGGGGCUGGUUGUCGCGCUCCACAAGAUCGUGACGGCUGUUGGACGUGGUGUAUCGGUUGCUAAGGCGCGGUCUUGAGGGCUGUAGUUGGGCCGUGAACGUCAUCUCCAUCCACUAAUCGAGUUAUCCAGCGCCUCUCAUCGAAAGAUCAGGCCAAAAACCCUAGCGGGUUCGCAUC
rnacentral:lncRNA from 1 species